GUUAAUUCAUUAACUUCCAAGGCCUUACACAAGACCUAGUGGACAAUUUUUGGAGACCCUAUCUAGCCGUGAUAGGGUG
rnacentral:snRNA from 15 species